CCUACGGGAGGCAGCAGUGAGGAAUAUUGGUCAAUGGGCGAGAGCCUGAACCAGCCAAGUCGCGUGAGGGAGUACUGCCCUAUGGGUUGUAAACCUCUUUUGUCGGGGAGCAAAAGCCGGACGUGUCCGGCUGUGAGAGUACCCGAAGAAAAAGCAUCGGGUAACUUCGUUCCAGCAGCCGCGGUAAUACGGAGGAGGCGGGCGUUUUCCGGAUUUAUUGGGUUUAAAGGGGGCGCAGGCGGAUUUUUAAGUCAGCGGUCAAAUCGUGGGGGUCAACCCCAUCCAGCCGUUGAAACUGGGGAUCUAGAGUGUGCGAGAGGUAUGCGGAAUGCGUGGUGUAGCGGUGAAAUGCA
rnacentral:rRNA from 1 species